rnacentral:rRNA from 1 species
UACGAAGGGGGCUAGCGUUGUUCGGAAUUACUGGGCGUAAAGCGCGCGCAGGCGGUUCUUCAAGUCAGAGGUGAAAGCCCAGAGCUCAACUCUGGAAUGGCCUUUGAGACUAGAGAACUAGGGUACGGGAGAGGUGAGUGGAAUUCCGAGUGUAGAGGUGAAAUUCGUAGAUAUUAGGAAGAACACCGGUGGCGAAGGCGGCCCACUGGUCCGGUACUGACGCUGAGGUGCGAAAGCGUGGGGAGCAAACAGG